AGCGGUGGAUGAUGUGGUUUAAUUCGAUGCAACGCGAAAACCUUACCCACCUUUGACAUGUACGGAAUCCUUUAGAGAUAGAGGAGUGCUCGAAAGAGAACCGUAACACAGGUGCUGCAUGGCUGUCGUCAGCUCGUGUCGUGAGGUGUUGGGUUAAGUCCCGCAACGAGCGCAACCCUUGUCAUUAGUUGCUACAUUCAGUUGGGCACUCUAAUGAGACUGCCGGUGACAAACCGGAGGAAGGUGGGGAUGACGUCAAGUCCUCAUGGCCCUUAUGGGUAGGGCUUCACACGUCAUACAAUGGUCGGUACAGAGGGUAGCCAACCCGCGAGGGGGAGCCAAUCCCACAAAGCCGGUCGUAGUCCGGAUCGCAGUCUGCAACUCGACUGCGUGAAGUCGGAAUCGCUAGUAAUCGCGGAUCAGCAUGUCGCGGUGAAUACGUUCCCGGGUCUU
rnacentral:rRNA from 1 species